rnacentral:lncRNA from 1 species
GGUCUUUGGAGUUAAAAAAUAAAAAUAAAUCCAGAAAUAGCAUCCAGUACCGAUCUGGGUCAUGCUGUUCUAUACUGGCUGCAGACUUCCCCACAUAAAGCACCCCCACUACGGCACCCCCCUGCCUAGCCCAGGCCCCUCUGGCACCCAGAGUUGUCCCUUCCUCUCUGAGACUUUUACCUUGGCAGCAUUGGCACCCCAGGCUCUGCUCGCUGUCUGUCUUGCAGCCAGGCCUCUGUAGCAUGAGAAAUACUAUUACUACACAAGAGGCAGGAGGUGGCCAUACACAAACCUUCCACGUGCAAGCCAUGGAUGGAAAAGCAGAGGCGCCUCAAGGCUAAUCCGGGCUUUCAAAAUUGCUGCUUCUUUUGUUCUCUUGCCUGUGUCCUCCCAGUGCUCCCCGAUUUAAAUCUUUAGCUUCCACAGUCUCAAGCAGAGGAACAAAUACACUUGGUUCGCUUAAUGAGCUGCUUCCUGUGCAUUCAUUCCGGAGAAAGGACUCCAGCUGAGGAACACGAGGAGGAGAAAGCAAAUGUUUCCCAGACUGGUGAAGCCUGUGCCACAAUUUAGCGAGACUGGGGGCUCCUGUCCUGCUCCCGCCCCAUCCCCUUCAGGCCUGACCUUUGCGGAGCUGACCAGGGAACGCUGAAGGCAGCAGUACAAGCCCCGGGAGGUGACUUUUAAGGCGAGGGGCUGGAAGUUCUGAAGCAAACGUCCCCACCAGAUGUGGUUUCUCCGAGGAGUCCUGGCAUCCAACAGGGCUGGCAAGGUCACCGGAAAUAGCAAAGCCACAACGGUGAGCAACAGAAUGACCCCACGGCUGCUUCCAGGGACAGCUUGAAACAAUGCGCACAUAAUGAGUGAGUCUUCCACGAGCACGCAGCUCCAUCUCCGCCGGGGUGGAAGUGUUCAAAAGGCAGCUGUGGGAAUUGGAAGUGUAGUGAUGUCGCUUGGGGCUUGGGUAAUGUUACCCCAAAACACAAGGGACGCUUGCCUCGGGAAACAGCAGAAGCAGGAGGGUCACAUGGCAGGCCACCACGCCAAGGGAGGAUUUUCCAACCUCCCUGUGAAGCAGGACCUAAAACCUCCAUGUGAGAGGGACCCUCUGUAUACUUGGAGGACAAGGGCAUCCUUAUCUCUGAAGACACGGGCACACAGAGAAGAAUCUGAGCAUACGGGCCUUGCAAGUCCCCUGUACUUUAAUACCAUUUGAUCAUGUCUUCCAUAAAACCAUGCACAGAAUCGCCCUUUUCCAUGACUGGCCCAUCAAUUAGCUUUGCCACAACUGUCCAAUCACGCUUUUCCAUGACUAUCCAAUCACAUUUCACCACGAAGUGCCCACCUUUCAUCAGAGCCAGAAUAAAAGAGGAACGUUGUGUCUGAAGUUUCUGUUUCCUUAUGAACACCCCCAUGCCACAGUAAAGCUAUAUUAAAUUAAAUAUAUAGCUGAUCUCUUGUUAUUCUGUCGUCUGUUACAGGAGCCUUGGUCAUGGACCUCAUGAUGAGCGAGGAGAAUAUUUCUCAUCCCGCAGGUUCUCUCUCUUUCCACUCUCCGCAGUCUGACUGCACCCACCCUGCCGUGGAGCAGUUCUGGGCGGAGCUGCCGAGGAUCUCCAUGUCUAACCCCAGCCCAUCUGCUAGCCUUCACCACACCCCCGUGUUGCUGUGUCAGAGGGCACCUUCUUCCCCAACUCCAGACUUCACUGAGCACCAAAGCCAUGUGGCUGACUGCCUCCUUGGCUGAAUGUCUCAGACUUACCACAAAGAUAAAGGCUAAAAAUCGAUCAGCUUUCCACGACAAAGCCACUUAGAACCCAGGAAAGAAGCCAAAUCUGCCAUGUCUAAUGCAUGCUCAGAUGCCCCCAUUACACCUCUGGAUGUCUGUUCUGACCACAGAGCCUUCUGUGUCUCCAGUGAUUUCACUCUAAAUGCCAUGGGCCUCUUGGCAAGAGUUCCUUCCCUGGUGUUCCUCACCCACCCUCAUCCAUGUUAAUGAUUUUUUUCUUUCCAUGAAUGCUUGUAGAAGGGGCAAUGGUACAACCAUUGCCCAGGUCAAAAGCCAAAGAUUAGCCAGAGUUUUAGAGAGGACCCAAGUGUCCUCCUCCCUCUCCUGCCACAUCCCCUUCCUCUCCUUGAGGACACCACUGUCCUGACUUCUUUUGAUACCAGUUGUCUCACUUUUAUUUAUCGCUUUGCCUCCAACACACACAUCCCUGAACCACAGAGUCUAGGUUUUGCUUGCUAUCGAUUUUUCCAGCAAGGAGCUUGGCCUGCACAAGUGCUUUGUGACUUGCUUCUUUAGCUGAUUAUUUACUUGUGAGAGUCAUCUGUGCUGAUACGCAGGGAUGUUGCUUACUCAUUUUCAUUUCAAGGGUUCUACAAUUUAUCAAUGCCUUUUACAACUGAUAGACACUUGGGGUGUUGCCAGUCUGCUCCUCUAAAAAUCCCCUAAGUAGAUUCUGUGUAAAAGCAUCACCUCCCCACCAGGAAAUGACGUCUGGUACUGUUGGAUAUUUACAUUUUAGUCACCUGAUAGUAUGUAAUGGUCUCUCACCCUGGUGUUAAUUUUUCUUUUCCUAAUUCAUAAUGAGGUUGAGUAGGUGUUUACUGGCCAAUUGGAUUUCAUAUUUCUAGCAUGCCUAUAUAUUAUGUAUCUUAGAUUUAAUGCCUGAGAGUCCACUGAUGGAAUCUACUGGGCUGUUUAUGCUGUCCAAGUUGCUGAACAGAAUUCCCCUAUCAUUUGGGCACUGGCUCUCCAUUGCUUACACAUAUCUUAUCUUCCUACUCUCUUUCAGGCGCCUUUUGGUUAACAUUCAUAACUUUAAUGUAACCAAAUUGAUCAAUCCUUUAUUUUAUGGUUAGUGCUUUUGGCUCCUUGUUAAAAAGUCCUAUCUCACUCUUACAGUAAUUCUUGAUUUAUAGUAGGAAAAAUCAUCCUGCCUU